AUUUACACACCAACAGAACACAGAUCGAACACCAGUUCGAACGCGUUCGAUGAAUUCAGUUGUGUAGGUACGAUUUAUACACCAACAGAACACAGAUCGAACACCAGUUCGAACGCGUUCGAUGAAUUCAGUUGUGUAGGUACGAUUUACACACCAACAGAACACAGAUCGAACACCAGUUCGAACGCGUUCGAUAAAUUCAGUCGUAUAGAUACGAUUU